CCUAUCAGAUGUCGCUAAGGUUGGGAAGUAUUCUGUGUAACUGUUUCUUGCUGAUUAUUACCUUUAAAGCACCUACAGAUUUUGGUACAUUCUUUUGUAAAGUCCCGACGUUUCCAGGCAUAAAUAAACGGAUUUAUUAUACUGUUGAAUAAGCCAAGAAACACUAACCAGUUCAUAACGUUUAAUUCUGUAAUCGUGAUUUGAUCAAUUCCGAUCCCUUUCCGGAAUUGAAACGACGUAAAUGGCAGCCAACAAAACGAAAAUGCCAACGUUACGAUACCUGUAAUUUUUGCACUCCGCACAUCACGAUCCAUGGUCUUAGAUUUCGCAGUUUGUUGAUUGUUCAUAGAACCACCACUCACUGGUGCGACUCUAGAAUAAAACCGCCAAGCCGCUUUUAGUAUCAAAAUAUACAUUACAAAGGUUAUCAUGCUGAAACUAUACAUAAUAAGUGACGAUGCCAAGUAGAAACCCCUACGAAAUAAAAAUAAGUAAUCACAUGGAAAACCAGGGCUCCAAACGUGCAAACCCCAGAAUGGGAGAACAACAAAAAAUAAACAGAAUAUCCAUGGAAACAGAGACAAAAUAAUUGUUACAUUCGUUGUUAUAACUUUUGCGUACUGAUGCGGAUGACAUAUUGCAAUGUAUCUGUCUAACACUGCGAACAAGACUGUCAAUUGGGAUACCAGUGUCGUGUAACUGAUUAGCAGGUAUCGCAGAAAACAAACUGUCAUGUUAUUUGAGAUACUUGGAUACAUAAAAUAAAAUAUUUGUAUUCCUGCUACUAUUCCAGUCAACAUGUCCGCAACUGCUAAAUUAACCACAAACUUGUUUGUAUUGGUUUUAAGUUUAAGUUUACUGAUAAAUAUAAAUAUUACAAGGCUGUUGCCAAAAAGAGCAGUAACGAAUACUAGUUGUUGCAAAAC
rnacentral:lncRNA from 1 species